rnacentral:lncRNA from 1 species
AUCCCCAUGGUCAUGUCUAAAAUCGAGUGGAUGAGCCGAGCGGUGACUGUGAAGACACUGCCUGGUCCAGCUCCCUCGCUCACUAGCGCCGCCUUCUGAACAAGUCAUUUACGUCUGACAGCCUCGGUCUCCUCAAGUACCGGAUGGGUCCGCCACCCCCACCCUGGCUCCUUCUCAGGCCACUGGGUGCUUGAGACUUCUUCGAGGGACGAGGGUCACCCACAGGCCGGUAUCUCUGGGUUGGCAAGAGGGAGGCUGGCCAAGGGGAAGGAAGACCACCGCCAACAAGAAGGGGCUCCUGCACCAGGACAGCCAAGCCCUGCACUCACUCAGGUUGCAGGAAAGUGCCGCUGAGAUGCCAGAACAAAGAUUUCCACUUGACUGACAGCUCCACGGAGGGUCUAUACAGCAGUGUCAGCCUGUGGGUGGGACUACACCAAGCAGGGAUCCUCAUGAGAUGCCCUUGUGGGACGUGAUCAAAUCCUACUACCUCUUUGCCCAAAACCCUCCAAGAGACCCCAGGGGUCAGCACCCAGCGAGGGGCAGUCUCUAUUUCCUUCCAUCCUUCCAACAAGCUCGAGAGGUAGAGAUGAUGGUACUCUUUCCAGAUGAGGAAGCUGAGGCUCGGAGACGGGGAGGAAUGUCCCAAAAAGAGGCAGCACGAGAAACCCAAGAUGUUGAGAAGGCGUCCGUCUUUAUCUGUGGAUUGGGGGCCAGCUGCCUGUGCAGCAGACCAUCUCAUUCACCGCUCGGUGGCAAUCAGCGGGGAUUUACUGAGGCCAUCCCAGCAGGAGAGCGAAAACCAAGCCGCCCAAAGAAGAAAAGCGUCCAAAAGCCAGGCCUGCGUCACCGAGGUGUCGCCGCCCCAUAAAGGAGAACAGCGAGGCCCCUGGGAGCCGACGCGUCCCCACCGUGGGGGCAUGAGAUGGAGCCAUAAAGCCCUCUGGGUGUCUCCCUGUCCUCACACGUCCCACCUAUAAAUGGU